GGGAGGAAGUAAAAGGCCCCGAUAAUUAUUGUUAUUAUUGCUUUUCCAAUUCGCAUUAUUCAACCUCAGCCUUUACAUUUACAUUUUUUUUCUCUUUCUCACUCUAAAAACUCUCUCUCUGUCUAGGGUUUCCUGAGGCGCCGCUUUUGAAUUCAACCGAUCCGAGAGAGUGAAUUCUUCUGCCGCGCUCGCUUCACCUCGAAGAUCCCUUAGCCUCGGGAAGCAUGGCUAUGGAAGUCACCCAGUUCCUUCUAAGUGCCCAAUCUGUUGAUUCAACAGUAAGGAAGCAUGCUGAAGAAACGAUAAAACAAUUUCAGGAGCAAAAUUUUCCUGCUUUUUUGUUAUCUCUUUCUGCUGAGCUCUCCAGUGAGGAGAAGCCAAUUGACAGCCGUAAGCUAGCUGGUUUGAUUCUUAAAAAUUCUUUGGAUGCGAAGGAGCAGCACAGAAAGUAUGAGCUUGUGCAAAGGUGGUUAUCACUCGAUGUGGCCGUAAAGAAUCAAAUUAAGGCAUGCUUGUUGCAGACCCUCUCUUCAACUGCAUCUGAGGCUAGGUCAACUGCAACUCAAGUGAUUGCAAAGGUUGCUGGCAUUGAACUUCCACAGAAGCAAUGGCCUGAGCUUAUAGUAACCCUCCUGUCAAACAUUCACCAGGUCCCACCACAUGUCAAGCAAGCUACACUUGAAACUCUUGGGUAUAUUUGUGAGGAGGUUGUUCCAGAGGUUGUUGAGCAAGAUCAUGUAAAUAAAAUACUUACGGCUGUUGUACAAGGCAUGAAUGCUAAUGAAAGUAAUAUUGAGGUUCGACUUGCUGCCACCCGAGCUCUAUAUAAUGCCCUUGGAUUUGCUCAGGCCAACUUUUCGAAUGAUAUGGAAAGGGAUUACAUAAUGAGAGUUGUUUGUGAGGCCACACUCUCUCCAGAGGUUAAAAUUAGACAGGCUGCCUUUGAGUGUUUGGUGUCUAUUGGGUCAACAUACUAUGAAAAGUUGGCCGCAUACAUUCAAGAUAUAUUCAGCAUUACAUCAAAAGCUGUCCGUGAAGAUGAAGAGCCUGUUGCUCUACAGGCAAUUGAAUUUUGGAGUUCAAUAUGCGAUGAGGAAAUUGACAUUCUCGAAGAGUAUGGAGGUGAUUUUACAGCAGAUUCUGAUAUUCCGUGUUUUUAUUUUAUCAAGCAGGCUCUCCCUGCACUUGUACCCAUGCUAUUAGAAACACUUCUAAAGCAAGAAGAAGGUCAGGAUCAGGAUGAAGGGGCCUGGAAUCUUGCAAUGGCUGGUGGGACUUGUCUUGGUUUGGUAGCCCGGACAGUUGGGGAUGACAUUGUUCCACUUGCUCUGCCAUUUAUUGAGGAAAAUAUAACAAAAGCUGAUUGGAGGCAACGAGAGGCAGCCACUUACGCAUUUGGUUCUAUAUUGGAAGGUCCUUCGCCUGAUAAAUUAAUCCCUAUAGUCAACGUUGCUCUGAACUUUAUGCUUGCUGCUUUGACUAAAGAUCCAAGCAGCCAUGUUAAGGACACAACUGCUUGGACCCUAGGGAGAAUAUUUGAAUUCCUUCACGGUUCAACAGUGGAGACUCAGGUUGUUACUUCAGCAAACUGUCAGCAGAUAAUCACAGUUCUCCUUCAAAGUAUGCAAGAUGCUCCUAAUGUUGCUGAGAAAGCUUGUGGUGCUCUCUAUUUCCUUGCCCAAGGUUAUGAGGACAUAGGCUCGACAUCACUUUUGGCACCAUAUUUUCAAGAAAUUGUACAGUCCCUUCUUAAUGUCACUCAUAGGGAAGAUGCUGGAGAGUCACGGCUUAGAACUGCAGCCUAUGAGACACUUAAUGAAGUAGUUAGGUGCUCAACAGAAGAGACUUCUCGCUUAGUGUUGGAACUUGUUCAAGUCAUAAUGACAGAGCUUCACAAGACACUUGAAGCUCAAAAACUUUCAUCUGAUGAGCGAGAGAAGCAAAAUGAAUUACAAGGUCUUCUUUGUGGCUGUUUACAAGUCAUCAUUCAGAAAUUAAGUGCAUCAGAACCCACGAAGCAUGCCUUCAUGCAGUAUGCAGAUCAAAUUAUGAAUCUUUUCCUACAAGUUUUUGCUUGCAGAAGUGCCACUGUCCAUGAGGAAGCCAUGCUCGCUAUUGGCGCCCUUGCUUAUGCAACAGGGCCAAACUUUGCGAAGUACAUGCCGGAGUUUUACAAGUAUGUAGAUAUGGGUCUCCAGAAUUUUGAGGAAUACCAAGUUUGUGCAGUCACUGUUGGGGUUGUGGGUGAUAUUAGCAGGGCAUUGGAGGAUAAGAUUCUGCCUUAUUGUGAUGGUAUAAUGACCCACCUCCUGAAAAAUUUGUCGAGCAAUCAGUUGCACAGAUCUGUGAAACCUCCCAUCUUUUCCUGCUUUGGAGACAUAGCACUCGCAAUUGGUGAGAACUUUGACAAAUAUUUAAUGUAUGCCAUGCCUAUGCUGCAGAGUGCUGCAGAGUUAUCGGUCCACACAUCAGGUGCUGACGAUGAAAUGAUUGAAUAUACUAAUCUUCUAAGGAAUGGCAUUCUAGAGGCAUUUUCUGGGAUCUUUCAGGGUUUCAAGAACUCUCCUAAAACACAACUGCUGAUUCCAUUUGCACCUCACAUACUGCAAUUUCUGGAUAGCAUUUACAUGGAAAAGGAUAUGGAUGAUGUUGUUAUGAAAACUGCUAUUGGUGUCCUUGGAGAUUUGGCGGAUACUCUGGGAAGUAACGCUGGCUCUUUGAUCAAACAAUCUCUUUCAAGUAAAGACUUUUUGAAUGAAUGUUUGUCUUCGGAGGACCACUUGAUCAAGGAAUCUGCUGAGUGGGCAAAAUUGGCCAUUAGCCGUGCUAUAUCUGUUUGAAGUGUUCACUUGAGUGCAUAUUUUCCUUAUCUGCAUGCAUAUGGUCGAGUCGAGUCUGGUCCCAGGUUGGACAGUAAUAGUGUCAAAAGUGUCAUGUCGGGUCACUGCCAUUUUCUGACAGCAGAAGUAUUUUUGCUUCUUGUUGUCACUAACUCAUGCAUCAGCAUCAUGGAGUCAGGGUUCCUUUCUUUUGCCAUGGGGGUGGGUGGAAGUUGGGUAAGGAUGGGGGUGGGGCGGGGUUGGAUGUCUUUUUCGGGGUGGGGGGGUAGGAAUGGGAGAUAGUCGGUUGGCAAUGGCAGCGUCCCAAGACCUUCUGGACGAUGCAGAUUUGGUGAUUGACUACAGAGGGGCCAUUAAAGUGCUGAGUGGACAUUUUUUCAUUCAUGCUGCAUGCUAACUUUUUGGUCUGGUUCAGGUGUCCAUGUUCCCGGUGCUACGUGCUCGUCAAGUAAUCUUAUUUGGAUCGUAACACUGCAUCAAGUUUUCACUUUCCAUGACACCUGGAGUCGCAGAUUGUCACCUCCAUAUUUAUAAUUUCUUACAUUUUAAUUACGUGUCGACAUUUUUGCAUCCCGUAUGUUGUAUUGCUGUCACAAAGUCGGUUUUUGCAUACUUUUAGCACAUCAUAUUGCAUAGAGUCAUCGUGGUUUUGGUCUUGCUCUUAGUCCUUUGUCUUCAUCAUAUUUAGCUUAGGUCAUUCAUUUUGCAUUCUCUCAUUCAUCUAGUAGUCAGUGAGCAAGUCAUUUAGGCAUUUCACAGGUCGUACAGAGUCAAAAUUACCGUCGAUUUUCAAGAAACAUGAUGCAUUUUUAUUUUUAUUUUUAUUUUUUUUCCCCUUCUUGUUGUGCUCUGUAUUUUGUUUGUGAUAUUUGGGAUGUCAUGUAAUUUUUUGAUGACAUUGUUGAGUAUAUGAUUGAAGAAGAAUCAAUUCCUGCCCAGAAGCAAUGAAUGUAUUUGUCACCUGAUCAAAAUAUUUUGUGAAGAGGCUUAUCUUCCAAAUAUUUGGUCCACAAAAAAAAGGGUAAGAAAGAUAUGUACAGGAACAUCACAUCAAGGCGCACAAAUAGGCAGCCAUUUUUUUGGGCUUGCAUUAUUCAGUAACAUAAUUUAAAUCUUGUUUGUGACAUGCUGAAUCAGGUCUGCAAUCAUUAAAUUUUAUUUCUCUUAUAGGAAAAUUUAUUUCUCUUUGGCUUCA